rnacentral:rRNA from 1 species
CAAGGUUUCGGUAGGUGAACCUGCGGAAGGAUCAUUG